CUGAAGAAAGGACCUUAGCUACGAAGGAGGACCAGUGGAGCUGCCGCAGCCGGAGGUCCCCCCGUCGGUAGGUUCAAUUUUCUUGUGAUUUUCUGGCCAACCGAGGUCUCUAACGUAUUUUUCUGCGAGGAUAUGACCAAAACCACCCAAGAUGAGGCAAACUGCCGCCAUAGGCAGCGGAAUCGGCACUCGAGCAUGGCAACACCGCUAUGUCGGAACACCAAAAUUUGCUGAAAUGAGUUUUCGACACUGAUUUUGAAUUUUUGGAGUAUUUUUAGAUAUGUGACAAUUGUUUUGAAUUUCACAUAACAGAGAACCUAGUACUUAUUAGGACGUGUAAUAGACAGUUCAAUAUCUCAAAAUAUCGAUC
rnacentral:lncRNA from 1 species